UCAGGCUAAAAACAUCUGAUAACACUUUCACCUCUCUUCCAACUUAUGGAGAGACGCAUUGCAAUUCAGUCAUCACUGUUAGUGUAAAAGCAUUGUUUGCUGCUUUUAUGUUGGUUCACACAGGAUACUUUUUCUGGUCUGUUGAGAAAAUCGUGGUGUAAACCAUUAUCAAAGACCAGCAUAGUAUUGAAAUUAGGUUGUCUUUGUAUGUUAUGGAUAUUGUGAUUUCCUUGCAAUCAUUGCGGAAAAAAAAAAGAAAAAGAAAUUCUCUUGUGCUAUGUUUGAACGAUAAGGACAACCAGAGUAGCAUUAGUAGAAUAACAAGAAUAUCAUUCAAGGAUGUUAAUUUUCUUUUCUAAGCACCUCUAAUUUUCCUUUUUUGUUCAACCAUGAUCUCCAUUGACAGGUUAUCUUGCCCCUCUCCCCAAACUUAGUGUCUCUAAUCCAUUGGCAAAAUCCCUGGCCUAUGCUCUCAUGAGACGACGUUUUCAGUUUUGCAUUCUGAAUCAGCCAAUUCAUCCUAGAAAUUUUUGAGAUAUCAAUCCACAUGAGGCUAAGGAUUGAAAACAGAUUACGGUUUACAAUACAUGUCACCAUUGAAACUGGGUCAUAUUCCUCUUCAGGCUGUUUUGUGAUUUUAUUGGUAUGGUACAGGUAUCUCUUAUGAACAAAACUGUUUGUAUCUAUCCAGCAAUACACACUGGUCUAGAACCAUAAAUCUUGUACAGGAUGCUUUAUUGAUAGUUGGAAGGAUUUCACCUUUCAAAAUUCUCUGAUAGCUGGUACUUUUGGAGAGAUGCAGUUGAUUAUAUCAUACAGAAAUGCUGAUUUAUUGUGUGCUCUGUUGUCGAUGGAACAUAAAUCUAAAAUCAUACUGACUGAUCAAUCUUUGUUAUCCAAUCAAUCUUCUUCUUUGUUGUCUAUGAUCUUUCUAAGAUUAUGUUUUCUACAAAAGUUUUGGUUUCAGUUGAUUGUGGCCUUUUUUGGGUCUUUUCUUAUUUUUAUAUUUUUAGAGAUUCAUUUGUGUUUCUAAUAGCUAUUGGUUGAGCUAAUCUAGUAUGCUUCUCUCUCUUGUGGAUCUUUAGCCAGACAUGGGGCUGACUUAAUAUGAGAUAAUAUGACAAAUAUUAAUAUGAUAUGGUGAUUUAGCUAUAUGGGAUUGAAUUCUGUUUUUGGGUUUUCUUUUUUUUCAUUUCCUUUUUUUUUCUUUUUUUUUUCCCUGUAAAGGAUUGGAAUUGUUUUUUUUUUUUUUUGGUUAUCUUGAAAUGCAUAACAUUUUUGGAGUUUGAAUAUCGUGUUCUUAAUAUCUUGCAUUACUGUAACUGUUGUGGGCUUUGUUUGGUUUCUGUAGAUUAUAAUUGAGUUGUGAAGAAUAUGAUUUUUUUUGCUUUCUCAAUUUUGAUUUGUGGAAAUGUUGCUAAUGUGAUCUUUGGCUUGUUUGUGUUGAUGCCCAUGUUUUGAUGUUUGAAGAAUGUCAGGUUUUUUUUUUUUUUUGUAUCAUUGGCUUGUUUGUGUUGAUAGCCAUGUUUUUACUUUUGAAAAAUGUAUAUGUUCUCAUAAUCUUUAGCUUGUUUGUAUUGAUUCCCACAUUUUGAUUUUUGAAGAAUGUGUGUGCAUGUGUGUUUACAUCUUUGGCUUGUUUGUGUUCAUGUCCAUGUUUUGAUUUUUGAAGAAUGUGUGGUGUUGGAUAUCUUUGGCUGUUUGGCAUGUUGUGUUAUGCCAUGUCUAGUUUUUGAAGUGUUUGUUAAAGCUUGUACAGCAUACCAUUCAGGUUUAAGGAGUUCUACAUGUGGGGGCCAUUGUUCAAUUAUCCAAACUGCUGAUGGCUGCCUUUAGGGCCCACAAAAGAGCUUAAGAUUCCUUGAUUGCGGACCUUCUAUUUGUUGACCACCCACAGAAAUGUUUGGAAUUUAAAGCUUGUACAACAUACAUUUCAGGUUUUAAAGCUUUUACAGCAAACCAUUCAGGUUUGUACAGCAUACCAUACAGGUUUUAAAGCUUGUACAGCAUACUCUGUAUUGUUUGUUUAGAAUCAAUACUCAUGUUAGCUAUAGGACAUUAUCCUGAAAAUUAGGCCACGUCAAAGUUCAAGUGGGACACACCAUAGGGAAGGAUGAAGAUUUCCUACUAGGCAAUUUCACCAACAGAGGCAUCAUUUCAUCAAAUCAUAAUUUCUAAAUAAUUUUGACUUAUUUUUAUGUUGGUUCUCAAGCCCUCAUCCAGUAUCAGUAUCAGUCAUGUAAGAGUACAGUAAGGCCUUGCAUGCAUAGAUAUUCAAUGCACUGAAUUCAUUAGAGCUGAAGUCACUUGAGGAGCCAAUUUACCUUGUUAGACAAUUCUUUAAGAAGCCCUUGGAAUGCUUGAUGCUUGCAUAUUAUUUGCCUCAGAAUGCAGGAGACAUAGCAUGAAAGUACAUUCGAGAUCCCCAAUUGUUGGCCUUCAUAGAUGCAGAGGUGAAUGUUUGUAAGUUGACUUUAA